AACGAACGCUGGCGGCAUGCCUAACACAUGCAAGUCGAACGAGACCUUCGGGUCUAGUGGCGCACGGGUGCGUAACGCGUGGGAAUCUGCCUUUGGGUUCGGGAUAACAGUUGGAAACGACUGCUAAUACCGGAUGAUGUCUUCGGACCAAAGAUUUAUCGCCCAGGGAUGAGCCCGCGUAGGAUUAGCUUGUUGGUGAG
rnacentral:rRNA from 1 species